rnacentral:lncRNA from 1 species
UAGAACGAAGUUUAGAUAGAGUUAGACCCAUUCACUCGAGGGAUCCUGGUUUGGGUAGUUGUUUUCGGCAUAAAACAUGAAACACAACCUUAAAUAGAGAAAAAUACUCAAUAACAUCAAGUAGGUUCAGUUGAAAGACCCAACGUUUUUAAUCAUCUGUUUAUCUCUCACCUUUAGAUAGUUGAUUUUGUAGUUAAAUUAUA